GACGAACGCUGGCGGCGUGCUUAACACAUGCAAGUCGAACGAUGAAGCCGGAGCUUGCUCUGGUGAAUUAGUGGCGAACGGGUGAGUAACACGUGAGUAACCUGCCCUUGACUCUGGGAUAACUGCGGGAAACUGUAGCUAAUACCGGAUACGACCCUCGGAGGCAUCUCCUGGGGGUGGAAAGAAUUUCGGUCAAGGAUGGACUCGCGGCCUAUCAGCUAGCUGGUGAGGUAAAGGCUCCCCAAGGCGACGACGGGUAGCCGGCCUGAGAGGGGGAGCGGGCACACUGGGACUGGGACACGGCCCAGACUCCUACGGGAGGCAGCAGUGGGGAAUAUUGCACAAUGGGCGCAAGCCUGAUGCAGCAACGCCGCGUGAGGGAUGACAGCCUUCGGGUUGUAAACCUCUUUUAGCAGGGAAGAAGCGAAAGUGACGGUACCUGCAGAAAAAGCACCGGCUAACUACGUGCCAGCAGCCACCGUAA
rnacentral:rRNA from 1 species